rnacentral:tRNA from 1 species
UCCAGGGUAGCCUAGUGGACAUGGCAUCUGCCCAGUAAGCAGAACACUGUGGGUUUGAUUCCCAUCCCUGGAC